CUGGCUCAGGACGAACGCUGGCGGCGUGCCUAAUACAUGCAAGUCGAACGAACUCUGGUAUUGAUUGGUGCUUGCAUCAUGAUUUACAUUUGAGUGAGUGGCGAACUGGUGAGUAACACGUGGGAAACCUGCCCAGAAGCGGGGGAUAACACCUGGAAACAGAUGCUAAUACCGCAUAACAACUUGGACCGCAUGGUCCGAGCUUGAAAGAUGGCUUCGGCUAUCACUUUUGGAUGGUCCCGCGGCGUAUUAGCUAGAUGGUGGGGUAACGGCUCACCAUGGCAAUGAUACGUAGCCGACCUGAGAGGGUAAUCGGCCACAUUGGGACUGAGACACGGCCCAAACUCCUACGGGAGGCAGCAGUAGGGAAUCUUCCACAAUGGACGAAAGUCUGAUGGAGCAACGCCGCGUGAGUGAAGAAGGGUUUCGGCUCGUAAAACUCUGUUGUUAAAGAAGAACAUAUCUGAGAGUAACUGUUCAGGUCUUGACGGUAUUUAACCAGAAAGCCACGGCUAACUACGUGCCAGCAGCCGCGGUAAUACGUAGGUGGCAAGCGUUGUCCGGAUUUAUUGGGCGUAAAGCGAGCGCAGGCGGUUUUUUAAGUCUGAUGUGAAAGCCUUCGGCUCAACCGAAGAAGUGCAUCGGAAACUGGGAAACUUGAGUGCAGAAGAGGACAGUGGAACUCCAUGUGUAGCGGUGAAAUGCGUAGAUAUAUGGAAGAACACCAGUGGCGAAGGCGGCUGUCUGGUCUGUAACUGACGCUGAGGCUCGAAAGUAUGGGUAGCAAACAGGAUUAGAUACCCUGGUAGUCCAUACCGUAAACGAUGAAUGCUAAGUGUUGGAGGGUUUCCGCCCUUCAGUGCUGCAGCUAACGCAUUAAGCAUUCCGCCUGGGGAGUACGGCCGCAAGGCUGAAACUCAAAGGAAUUGACGGGGGCCCGCACAAGCGGUGGAGCAUGUGGUUUAAUUCGAAGCUACGCGAAGAACCUUACCAGGUCUUGACAUACUAUGCAAAUCUAAGAGAUUAGACGUUCCCUUCGGGGACAUGGAUACAGGUGGUGCAUGGUUGUCGUCAGCUCGUGUCGUGAGAUGUUGGGUUAAGUCCCGCAACGAGCGCAACCCUUAUUAUCAGUUGCCAGCAUUAAGUUGGGCACUCUGGUGAGACUGCCGGUGACAAACCGGAGGAAGGUGGGGAUGACGUCAAAUCAUCAUGCCCCUUAUGACCUGGGCUACACACGUGCUACAAUGGAUGGUACAACGAGUUGCGAACUCGCGAGAGUAAGCUAAUCUCUUAAAGCCAUUCUCAGUUCGGAUUGUAGGCUGCAACUCGCCUACAUGAAGUCGGAAUCGCUAGUAAUCGCGGAUCAGCAUGCCGCGGUGAAUACGUUCCCGGGCCUUGUACACACCGCCCGUCACACCAUGAGAGUUUGUAACACCCAAAGUCGGUGGGGUAACCUUUUAGGAACCAGCCGCCUAAGGUGGGACAGAUGAUUAGGGUGAAGUCGU
rnacentral:rRNA from 1 species